ensembl:lncRNA
AUUUACAACCCCAAGGACUGUCGCCUGCCAGGCUCCUCAGUCCAUGGGCUUCUCCAGGCAAGAACACUGGAGUGGGUUGCCGUUUUCUCCUCCAGGGAAUCUUCCUGACCCUGGGACUGAACCUGCAUCUCCUGUGGCUCCUGCAUUGCAGGAAGAGUUCCCAUGUACAGGAACAGACUGACCGUCCCCAUGUAAUCCACAUUUCAAUACUGCAUCUUGUCAGCACAAAGGAAUGAAUCCCUAAUGGUUAUUACAAGAUACUGAAUAGUGCUCCUUCUGCUAUAAAGCCCUGAAACAAUUUGCUUAAAGUGAUAGUUACCUCUAAUGAAAAGAUACAUAACGGAAAAUGUCAGCAACCUUUUAAAUCCUCCACAACUUAUCAUGAAGACCGUCUUGUGCAAAGUGCUCGUGGUGAAGCAACUUCUUUUGUCUCCGAUUCCUCCUAAAUUAGGUGGAUUCUUUACCAGCUGACCUACCAUGGAGAGAAAUUGCAGCUUGCCCUCCGUCUCCUAUUGCUGAUGAUCCUUCAGUUCUACCAUCUCCCGGUUCCUGUCCCUCCUCUAGUCUGUAACUCUUCUUGCCUGUUCAGCCCCUUAUUACCAGCAGUUGUACUGUACUACUGUACUUUUCAGGGUACUGUACGAUUAAAAUGUUUUAAUUUUUUGUUCAUUUUAAUGUAUUAUUUGCAUGAAAAGCAUUGUACACCUAUUACAGAACAGUACUAUAUAGCCACUUGUGUUAGUUGGGAACCCAGGCUAAGUUUGUUGGACUUAAUGAUCAAACCAGACUCACUAACCCUCUCUCUGAAUGGAACUCUUUCAUAUGUAGGGGACUCACUGUAUUUGCAAAGAUAUGGGCAGG